UGUGAACUCGAAGAGUAGGGCGGGACACGUGGUAUCCUGUCUGAAUAUGGGGGGACCAUCCUCCAAGGCUAAAUACUCCUGACUGACCGAUAGUGAACCAGUACCGUGAGGGAAAGGCGAAAAGAACCCCGGCGAGGGGAGUGAAAAAGAACCUGAAACCGUGUACGUACAAGCAGUGGGAGCACCUUCGGGUGUGACUGCGUACCUUUUGUAUAAUGGGUCAGCGACUUAUAUUCUGUAGCAAGGUUAACCGUAUAGGGGAGCCGCAGGGAAACCGAGUCUUAACUGGGCGUUAAGUUGCAGGGUAUAGACCCGAAACCCGGUGAUCUAGCCAUGGGCAGGUUGAAGGUUGGGUAACACUAACUGGAGGACCGAACCGACUAAUGUUGAAAAAUUAGCGGAUGACUUGUGGCUGGGGGUGAAAGGCCAAUCAAACCGGGAGAUAGCUGGUUCUCCCCGAAAGCUAUUUAGGUAGCGCCUCGUGAACUCAUCUUCGGGGGUAGAGCACUGUUUCGGCUAGGGGGUCAUCCCGACUUACCAACCCGAUGCAAACUACGAAUACCGAAGAAUGUUAUCACGGGAGACACACGGCGGGUGCUAACGUCCGUCGUGAAGAGGGAAACAACCCAGACCGCCAGCUAAGGUCCCAAAGUCAUGGUUAAGUGGGAAACGAUGUGGGAAGGCACAGACAGCCAGGAUGUUGGCUUAGAAGCAGCCAUCAUUUAAAGAAAGCGUAAUAGCUCACUGGUCGAGUCGGCCUGCGCGGAAGAUGUAACGGGGCUAAACCAUGCACCGAAGCUGCGGCAGCGACACUAUGUGUUGUUGGGUAGGGGAGCGUUCUGUAAGCCUGCGAAGGUGUGCUGUGAGGCAUGCUGGAGGUAUCAGAAGUGCGAAUGCUGACAUAAGUAACGAUAAAGCGGGUGAAAAGCCCGCUCGCCGGAAGACCAAGGGUUCCUGUCCAACGUUAAUCGGGGCAGGGUGAGUCGACCCCUAAGGCGAGGCCGAAAGGCGUAGUCGAUGGGAAACAGGUUAAUAUUCCUGUACUUGGUGUUACUGCGAAGGGGGGACGGAGAAGGCUAUGUUAGCCGGGCGACGGUUGUCCCGGUUUAAGCAUGUAGGCUGGUUAUCCAGGCAAAUCCGGAUAAUCAAGGCUGAGGUGUGAUGACGAGGCACUACGGUGCUGAAGUAACAAAUGCCCUGCUUCCAGGAAAAGCCUCUAAGCAUCAGGUAACAUCAAAUCGUACCCCAAACCGACACAGGUGGUCAGGUAGAGAAUACCAAGGCGCUUGAGAGAACUCGGGUGAAGGAACUAGGCAAAAUGGUGCCGUAACUUCGGGAGAAGGCACGCUGGUGUGUAGGUGAAGUCCCUGCGGAUGGAGCUGAGACCAGUCGAAGAUACCAGCUGGCUGCAACUGUUUAUUAAAAACACAGCACUGUGCAAACACGAAAGUGGACGUAUACGGUGUGACGCCUGCCCGGUGCCGGAAGGUUAAUUGAUGGGGUUAUCCGUAAGGAGAAGCUCUUGAUCGAAGCCCCGGUAAACGGCGGCCGUAACUAUAACGGUCCUAAGGUAGCGAAAUUCCUUGUCGGGUAAGUUCCGACCUGCACGAAUGGCGUAAUGAUGGCCAGGCUGUCUCCACCCGAGACUCAGUGAAAUUGAACUCGCUGUGAAGAUGCAGUGUACCCGCGGCAAGACGGAAAGACCCCGUGAACCUUUACUAUAGCUUGACACUGAACAUUGAGCCUUGAUGUGUAGGAUAGGUGGGAGGCUUUGAAGCGUGGACGCCAGUCUGCGUGGAGCCAACCUUGAAAUACCACCCUUUAAUGUUUGAUGUUCUAACGUUGGCCCCUGACCGGGGUUGCGGACAGUGUCUGGUGGGUAGUUUGACUGGGGCGGUCUCCUCCCAAAGCGUAACGGAGGAGCACGAAGGUUAGCUAAUCCUGGUCGGACAUCAGGAGGUUAGUGCAAUGGCAUAAGCUAGCUUGACUGCGAGCGUGACGGCGCGAGCAGGUGCGAAAGCAGGUCAUAGUGAUCCGGUGGUUCUGAAUGGAAGGGCCAUCGCUCAACGGAUAAAAGGUACUCCGGGGAUAACAGGCUGAUACCGCCCAAGAGUUCAUAUCGACGGCGGUGUUUGGCACCUCGAUGUCGGCUCAUCACAUCCUGGGGCUGAAGUAGGUCCCAAGGGUAUGGCUGUUCGCCAUUUAAAGUGGUACGCGAGCUGGGUUUAGAACGUCGUGAGACAGUUCGGUCCCUAUCUGCCGUGGGCGCUGGAGAAUUGAGGGGGGCUGCUCCUAGUACGAGAGGACCGGAGUGGACGCAUCACUGGUGUUCGGGUUGUCAUGCCAAUGGCACUGCCCGGUAGCUAAAUGCGGAAGAGAUAAGUGCUGAAAGCAUCUAAGCACGAAACUUGCCCCGAGAUGAGUUCUCCCUGAGACUAUAAGUCUCCUGAAGGAACGUUAAAGACGAUGACGUUGAUAGGCCGGGUGUGUAAGCGCAGCGAUGCGUUGAGCUAACCGGUACUAAUGAACCGUGAGGCUUAACCUU
rnacentral:rRNA from 2 species